UGAGGAAUAUUGGUCAAUGGGCGGGAGCCUGAACCAGCCAAGUAGCGUGCAGGACGACGGCCCUAUGGGUUGUAAACUGCUUUUGCGCGGGGAUAAAGUGCGCCACGUGUGGCUCAUUGCAGGUACCGCGCGAAUAAGGACCGGCUAAUUCCGUGCCAGCAGCCGCGGUAAUACGGAAGGUCCGGGCGUUAUCCGGAUUCAUUGGGUUUAAAGGGAGCGCAGGCCGGCUAUUAAGUCAGCUGUGAAAUCCGGCGGCUCAACCGUCGGCCUGCAGUUGAUACUGGUGGCCUUGAGUGCGCGCAGGGGCGUUGGAAUUCAUGGUGUAGCGGUGAAAUGCUCAGAUAUCAUGAAGAACUCCGAUCGCGAAGGCAGAUGCCCGGAGCGCAACUGACGCUGAGGCUCGAAAGUGCGGGUAUCAAACAGGAUUAGAUACCCUGGUAGUCCCUGAACU
rnacentral:rRNA from 1 species